UUUCGUCUCAGCUCCAAACUUUGUCUCUGUAACUCCUUCCAUGGGUGUUUUGUUCCCAAUUCUAAGAAGGAUGUCUGCCAUUUCUUUAGAGUUUGUCUUUUAUCGUUCCUUCUCUACCAGGCAGGGUGCCAGGACUAAGCUGUGCGGGAUUUGGUAUGUGUGUCUGUGCACCACGUGUGAGUCUAGUGUCCUCAGAGGCCAGAGGAGGGUGUCAGAUCCCCUGCAACUGGAGUUACAGACAGUUGUGAGUACCCUUGUGGGUGCUGGGAAUUUAAUCCAGGUCCUUUCGGAUAGCAGCCAGUGCUCUUGGCCACUGAGCCAGCUCUCCAGCUCCUAACCAUUAUUGACUUAUAAGAUAUUAUUUUGAGGGAUAGAGAGAUGUCUCAGUGGCUAAGAGCAGUUGGUGCUCUGGCAGGGGACUCAGGUUCAGAUCCCAGUGCCCACAUGGUGACAGCCAUCUAGAACAACAGUUCUUAGGAAUUUAACACCCUCUUCUGGCAGCCACCAGCCCCAGGAACGUAUGUGAUGUACAUACAUGCAUAUGGCGAAACACUCAUACACAUAGAACAGAAUGAACACGUCUUUUUAAAAAGGUUUCGUGUUUUAAUUAUGUGUAUAUGUGGAUGUCUGCAACUAUGUGUAUACGUGGACAUCUGCAUGUGUGCUUGUACCUGGGUGUAGUACUGACAGGGGCCAGAAGAGGGUGCCAGAUCCCCUGGAGCUGGAGGUAUGGGCAGUGGUAAACUGUCCCACGUGGGUUCUGGGAACAGAAUUUGCAUCUCCAAAGUACUAAGUUCUCUUAACCACUGAGCUGUCUCUCUAGCCCUGGAACUGACUGCUAUUUGAUACCAUAGACAACACAGAGGCAGGAGCUGCCCUGGCCUUCCAGGUUCUGGACAGAUGAGAUUUAGGACAGUAACAGCCAGAGUAUUGUUAGAACUUCUGUGUAACCCAGAAAACCCAGUUCCUCUGAAGCUCAGGGCUGGGCAUAAAAAUUCACCUAAGGAGCCAGUGGAAGCUAGCCAAAAGAGACAACACUUGGCAGAAGAACCCAGAAGAGGUAGGUCUUCCUGGCAGAAGGAAGGGCAGGUGACAUGCUGCAGCCUGGUGGGUGGGAAGAACCCAGGCAGUCAUCCACAGUGUGAACUCAGGGCAGGAGGGAGUGGCAGAGAGGGCAGAAAGACCUGUGGGGCCUGGGUCAUGAACAGACUUGCUUGUUACCCGAACGCCAUCCUGAAAGCAGUGGGAACUGAACAAGAGUGGUCCAAGCCAGCCAACUCAGAACAUGUGUGCACUUUACAGGGCUCCUUCUGACAGCAGCUUGUAAACUGACCUGGCUUGGAGGUGAGAUUAGAGGCCAGGUGAGGCAGGUACAUCAACAUGCCUGCGGGUGGUUCUGAUCCCAAGCCAAACUGCUGCAAGACAGCUCAUGCCACACGGGCUAAUGCCAGCCAUGCGGAGCCUGCACCUUUUACCAUUUUCUUCCUUUCUGCAUCAGGUAAGGCCUGGGUGUUGUCUGGGUCUGGUUUUCUACACGGUGAGCCCCAGAAGACAGGAACCUGAAGCAUCAAAUCUUUAGACUGACGGAGCCCUGUGUCCUACCUUCUCUCACCAUGCAGAGAGAUGUUGCAGUUCUGAUGAGCUGUGGCAAUACACUGGUCCUUGAGUAUGCCUGGAAUGCAUCCAGGUUGAAGAGGAUAUCGCAUCCAGGACUUGGCCUCUCGUGGUACCUCUUAAAGCCAUUGGUUACCAGGUGAAACAGGCGACCUCCACGCAUGCUCCGUUAGCCAAGGCAAUUCCUUGGCUAAGCCUGGGUGAGGGGUGAAUAGAAACACCCCUCUUCUGGCUACUAAAUAGCCAGAGAUGGAGAGAGCAGGCCUGUGCCCUUCUUUGAAGCAAGAACACUGUCAGAAUCCCUGAAGUAUGAUCAUCUUCUCAAAAACAAACAAAAAAAAAGAAGUUAAUUUACUCUAGUAUUAGGAAUUCUCACUGGCUCCUACUGAUCACGGCGUCCUUUUAUAUAAAGCCCCCUUUAAACAAUCCAUCCAUAUGCCCUAGGAUUUAUGAAGUGGCUGCUCUGAAUUUUUGAGAACCCCUGUCCAUCUCUCUUCUGCACUCAGAAUCUUUUCUUGGGUCUGGCGUGGGUCAGCUCGGCUUGCCAUGCUCCCUCGAAGAUGAUGCAACUCUGUACUCACCUGGCCAAAAUCUCUCAACACUCAAUAAACGUGACACCCUCUCUGAUAAGAGGCUCCUUCCAAACCGUUAGCUGUUUCUUCACAGAAGGUGCUGGGACCUACUGUUUCCUUUGGGAACCACACAGGUAGAAAGCUGGAGAAACUGCCAUUUGUACCUGCAUCAGGUGGUACUGCACAUGUGUGAUCCCAGCAUCCCAGACACUAGGGCAGAAGAGCCGUGAACUCAAGGACAGCCUGGCCUACACAGGGAGACCCUGUGCCAAAGAAAAGGAGGCAAGGGAGGAGGAGGGGAAGAGGAGAAACCUCAACUGCAUCCCUUUUGCUCACAAAGAAGGCAGCGACUGGAAUCCAAUCUGGGUGGUUCCCCAGCAUCCUGUAUCAUGGAUCUUGUUGUUAUGAACAAAAAUAUACACAGAGCACGCUGUUCGGGACACAGGAAGUCAUCUUUAGUCUAGAUGGUGAUUUUAGGUUUGGAUAAUGAGUGUUCGGUUUCAGCAGUGUGUGUUUUUGUAAAUGGUCAAACGAGCUGAGUCUCUUGCAUUCCAAGAACACCGCCUAUGUUUCUUAAUUCCGUAGGAAUGUAGUGAAUUACAGUAUUUGGUUAUUCUUGCAGAGUUGAGUGUUUUCACCAAGCAAUUGUUUGUGAGAGCUGAGCCCAGAGGACUAUGGAAAGACAAGCAAGCUGCGUGUUCUCUUCUCCCUGGAAGAGAUGGGGAAAGUGAACCAAGGGGUAUUGGGAGCAGCCUAGACGAGGGGUCUCGGUCCUUCGCAUGCAUUAGUGGAGAGCAAUGACUCUGCGAGCAGAAUAGGAAGUUUGGGCGGGG
rnacentral:lncRNA from 1 species